rnacentral:rRNA from 1 species
UACAGAGGUGGCAAGCGUUGUUCGGAAUUACUGGGCGUAAAGGGCGAGUAGGUGGCCAUCUAAGUCAGACGUGAAAUCCCCCGGCUUAACCUGGGAACUGCGUCUGAUACUGGACGGCUUGAGUAUGGGAGAGGAACGUAGAAUUCCAAGUGUAGCGGUGAAAUGCGUAGAUAUCUGGAGGAAUACCGGUGGCGAAGGCGGCGUUCUGGACCAUUACUGACACUGAAUCGCGAAAGCUAGGGGAGCAAACGGG